AAAUUAAAACUUUCAACAACGGAUCUCUUGGCUCUGGCAUCGAUGAAGAACGCAGCGAAAUGCGAUAAGUAAUGUGAAUUGCAGAAUCCAGUGAAUCAUCGAAUCUUUGAACGCACAUUGCGCCCGCCAGCAUUCUGGCGGGCAUGCCUGUUUCGAGC
rnacentral:rRNA from 1 species